GACGAACGCUGGCGGCGUGCUUAACACAUGCAAGUCGAGCGGUAAGGCUCCUUCGGGAGUACACGAGCGGCGAACGGGUGAGUAACACGUGAGUAAUCUGCCCUUCACUUCGGGAUAACCACCGGAAACGGAGGCUAAUACCGAAUACGACCAGUCUUCGCAUGAGGUGCUGGUGGAAAGUCUUUUCGGUGAAGGAUGUGCUCGCGGCCUAUCAGCUUGUUGGUGGGGUAAUGGCCUACCAAGGCUUCGACGGGUAGCCGGCCUGAGAGGGUGACCGGCCACACUGGGACUGAGACACGGCCCAGACUCCUACGGGAGGCAGCAGUGGGGAAUAUUGGACAAUGGGCGAAAGCCUGAUCCAGCAACGCCGCGUGAGGGAUGACGGCCUUCGGGUUGUAAACCUCUUUCAGUACCGACGAAGCGCCCUGUCGGGUGGUGACGGUAGGUACAGAAGAAGGACCGGCCAACUACGUG
rnacentral:rRNA from 1 species